UACGGAGGGUGCAAGCGUUAAUCGGAUUUAUUGGGCGUAAAGAGCACGUAGGCUGGAUGGAAAGUUAGAUGUGAAAUCCCGGGGCUCAACUCCGGACACGCAACUAAAACUCCCAUUCUAGAGGAUGGACGGAGAAAAGGGAAUUCCACAUGUAGCGGUGAAAUGCGUAGAUAUCUGGAGGAACACCGGUGGCGAAGGCGGCAUCCUGGACCGGUAUUAACGCUGAGCGCGAAAGCCAGGGGAGCAAACGGG
rnacentral:rRNA from 1 species